rnacentral:misc_RNA from 1 species
AACGCACAUUGCGCCCCUUGGUAUUCCGAGGGGCAUGCCUGUUCGAGCGUCAUUUCACCAAUCAAGCCCCGCUUGGUAUUGGGCGCCCGGCCCGCCCCCAGUGGGCGGGCCCGCCUGAAAUGCAUCGGCGAGGACACCGACCCCCGGCGUGUUAAGAAUCUCACAGUUCGAACGUCGGGAGCACCGGUCGACCCCCGCCGUCAAAACCUUUCCACAGGUUGACCUCGGAUCAGGUAGGGAUACCCGCUGAACUUAA